UACGAAGGGGGGCUAGCGUUGUUCGGAAUUACUGGGCGUAAAGCGCGCGCAGGCGGUCUUUUUAAGUCAGGGGGUGAAAGCCCAGAGCUCAACUCUGGAAUUGCCUUUGAAACUAGAAGACUUGGGUACGGGAGAGGUGAGUGGAAUUCCGAGUGUAGAGGUGAAAAUUCGUAGAUAUUCGGAAGAACACCAGUGGCGAAGGCGGCUCACUGGCCCCGUUACCGACGCUCAGGCGCGACAGCGUGGGGAGCAAACAGG
rnacentral:rRNA from 1 species